UGGACCAAUGAUGAUGACUGAUGGUUUGAAUCAAGGAUGAUAAAUAAUAUGUGUCUGAAACUCUGAGGUCCAG
ensembl:snoRNA small nucleolar RNA, C/D box 114-10